rnacentral:rRNA from 1 species
CUACGGUCGCACCAGUGAGGAAUAUUGCACAAUGGGGGGAACCCUGAUGCAGCAACGCCGCGUGGAGGAUGACGCAUUUCGGUGUAUAAACUCCUUUUAUAUGUCAAGAAAAUGACGGUAGCAUAUGAAUAAGCACCGGCUAACUCCGUGCCAGCAGCCGCGGUAAUACGGAGGGUGCAAGCGUUACUCGGAAUCACUGGGCGUAAAGGACGCGUAGGCGGAUUGGAAAGUCAGGUGUGAAAUCCUACAGCUUAACUGUAGAACUGCACUUGAAACUUCUAAUCUAGAGUAUGGGAGGGGGAGAUGGAAUUAGUGGUGUAGGGGUAAAAUCCGUAGAUAUCACUAGGAAUACCUAAAGCGAAGGCGAUCUCCUGGAACAUUACUGACGCUAAGGCGUGAAAGCGUGGGGAGCAAACAGGAUUAGAUACCCCCGUAGUC